rnacentral:rRNA from 1 species
AGCUGCAGUCGACGAGGCCGGCCCCGCAAGGGGCCGAGUCGAGUGGCGAAAGGGGCAGUAAGGCGUGGGUAACCUACCCCCCGGACCGGGAUAGCCGCGGGAAACCGCGGGUAAUACCGGGCGACGUAGCCGUGGCGCAUGUCAUGGCUACCAAACGGCCCGCCGCCGGGGGCGGGGCUCACGUGGUAUUAGCUAGACGGCGGGGUAACGGCCCACCGUGGCGAAGAUGCCUAGCGGGUGUGAGAGCACGACCCGCGCCACUGGCACUGCGACACUGGCCAGACACCUACGGGUGGCUGCAGUCGAGGAUCUUCGGCAAUGGGCGCAAGCCUGACCGAGCGACGCCGCGUGGAGGAUGAAGGCCUUCGGGUUGUAAACUCCUGUCGAGGGGGAGGAAAGCCGGGCAACCGGUCUGACCUAUCCCUGGAGGAAGCACGGGCUAAGUUCGUGCCAGCAGCCGCGGUAAGACGAACCGUGCGAACGUUGUUCGGAAUCACUGGGCUUAAAGGGCGCGUAGGCGGCCAGCCAAGUCCGGGGUGAAAGCCCCCGGCUCAACCGGGGAAGGGCCUUGGAUACUGGCUGGCUGGAGGGAGGUAGGGGCAGCUGGAACUUCCGGUGGAGCGGUGAAAUGCGUUGAUAUCGGAAGGAACGCCGGUGGCGAAAGCGAGCUGCUGGCCCUCUUCUGACGCUGAGGCGCGAAAGCCAGGGGAGCGAACGGGAUUAGAUACCCCGGUAGUCCUGGCCCUAAACGAUGGGUACUAGGUAGUGGGCUGACAUGGGCUCACUGCCGAAGCAAAAGUGGUAAGUACCCCGCCUGGGGAGUAUGGUCGCAAGGCUGAAACUCAAAGGAAU